GUACGGGAGGCAGCAGUAGGGAAUAUUGGACAAUGGGUGCGAGCCUGAUCCAGCCAUGCCGCGUGCAGGAAGACGGCCUUCUGGGUUGUAAACUGCUUUUGCCAGGGGAUAAAACGUCCAUGCGUGGAUAAUUGAAGGUACCUGGUGAAUAAGCCACGGCUAACUACGUGCCAGCAGCCGCGGUAAUACGUAGGUGGCAAGCGUUGUCCGGAUUUAUUGGGUUUAAAGGGUGCGUAGGUGGUUCCAUAAGUCAGUGGUGAAAUACGGCAGCUUAACUGUCGAGGUGCCAUUGAUACUGCGGAACUUGAGUACAGACGAGGUAGGCGGAAUUGACGGUGUAGCGGUGAAAUGCUUAGAUAUCGUCAAGAACACCGAUAGCGAAGGCAGCUUACUAGACUGUAACUGACACUGAGGCACGAAAGUGUGGGGAUCAAACAGGAUUAGAUACCCCGGUAGU
rnacentral:rRNA from 1 species